ACAAAAUGCGGUAUUGCUCCCUGAAUUGGUAAGGAUCAAUGUUGAAAGCUGUCCCUCCCUAGAAUCGUUUUUUUAAUUAUGGGUCCCUUAAUUCAAAUGCGGAGCACAAAAUUAUAUUGCUCCCCAAAUUGGAGGAAGUAAGGGUGAGUGGAGCAAAAAAGCUGAGACACGUGGUCAUGAGCCACUCCCAAAUGGUUUUGAAAUUUCCUAGUCUUAGAAAUGUCUGUGUUGAGAAUUGCUCUGACUUGAGAUAUCUCUUACCCAAAUAUACGGCCACAACUCUAACGAAACUUGAGUGGCUAACAAUUAGUAAAUGCGAACAGAUGAAUGAAGUGAUUCUCGAGGAAGAAGUUGGUCGAUCAGAGGCAGAAGUGAUGAGUUUCCCUUGCUUAAGUAAAUUAACACUUAAGGAGCUCGAUAACCUAAUUAGUUUCGGUUCAGGAAGUGUCAAGAGGCAGCUAGGCGAGACAGCCGAAGAAAAUGAUGAAUCGACACAACCGCUGUUCAAUGAGAUGGUUCGUUUUAUUCUUUACUGUGAUAAUUCGUAUUCUCACAUUAUCAUGUUUUAUAAUGAAGAAUCUAAUAAAUUUGUCCAACUUAUCCUCCUUUCUCACAUUAUCCUUGUGCAGGUCACAUUUCCAAAUAUGAGAUAUCUAGAAGUUGAAGGCGUUCCAUGCAAAGAGCUAUGGAACAAUCAUGUUCCUGCCGAUUCCAUUGUUUGUUCCCAUAGAUUCCUUUCAAAAAGUGUGAAGGUUAAAAACUGUCCAUCCUUGAUUCGUUGUUUCAUUUUGGAUCCCUAGAUUCAAAUACGAAACAAAAUGCGGUAUUGCUCCCUGAAUUGGUAAGGAUCAAUGUUGAAAGCUGUACCUCCCUAGAAUCAUUGUUUAAUUAUGGGUCCCUUGAUUCAAAUGCGGAGCACAAAAUUAUAUUGCUCCCCAAAUUGGAGGAAGUAAGGGUGAGUGGAGCAAAAAAGCUGAGACACGUGGUCAUGAGCCACUCCCAAAUGGUUUUGAAAUUUCCUAGUCUUAGAAAUGUUUAUGUUGAGAAUUGCUCUGACUUGAGAUAUCUCUUCCCCAAAUAUACGGCCACAACUCUGACGAAACUUGAGUGGCUAAUAAUUAGUAAAUGCGAACAGAUGAAUGAAGUGAUUCUCGAGGAAGAAAUUGGUCGAUCAGAGGCAGAAGUGAUGAGUUUCCCUUGCUUAAGUAAAUUAACACUUAAGGAGCUCGAUAACCUGAUUAGUUUCGGUUCAGGAAGUGUCAAGAGGCAGCUAGGUGAGAC
rnacentral:lncRNA from 1 species